GUAUGUGUGUCAGUGUGUGUGUGUGCAUGUGAGUAUGUGUGUCUGUCAGUGUGUGUGUGUGCAUGUGAGUAUGUCUGUCAGUGUGUGUGUGAGUAUGUGUGUCUGUCAGUGUGUGUGUGUGCAUGUGAGUACGUGUGUCUGUCAGUUUGUGUGUGUGCAUGUGAGUAUGUCUGUCAGUGUGUGUGUGAGUAUGUGUGUCUGUCAGUGUGUGUGUGAGUAUGUGUGUCUGUCAGUGUGUGUGUGUGCAUGUGAGUAUGUGUGUCUGUCAGUGUGUGUGUGCAUGUGUGUCUGU